ACAACAUCAAGCUUGAUUCACAACUUUCACUGCACGGUAGACACCAGGAAAGGAAGCGCGCAGGCGGGGUCGCAUUUGCGCCGCACGAAGUAUGUCACCGCGUAUAUGUAAGUAGCGCGCGUGCUAACCAAAGAACAACACGUUGCUUUUGCGUAGGUUUCGUUUGGAGCAGAAAUUCAACUGUAAAAAUCGGAUUUGUUUAGUGCUUAUCUCGGAACCGUAUCGCCACUGACGUCACAUCAAUUUUUUUGUUUAAAAAAUACGUCUUUUCGGUAAAUUUUACACACUUCAACGAUUGCUACUCCCUUCCAGUUUUCACACACAUCCAAUCCAUUCUUCUCAAGAACCAAACCGUAACCGUACAAUUAUUUCCACUGCUUAUUCCAUGUCAUGAAGAAUCAGCAUAACAUUCUGGAAGAUUUCUACCCGAGCGAUUCAGUUGAUGAUGAUGAUGACGACAGGCGAUUGCCAGAUUUCCCGACUGUUUCUCAGCUAUGUGGUGCUCUUGUGGGCAGCAGCAGCACCAGCGGAAGAAAGUCCCGUUAUGUUCCACACCGCACGCUUACGACGAUGUUUUUUUGCUUCUUUACGCCUCACACUUUCAGACGAUGCACCUAACGUUUGGCUCGGACGAAAGAAUGCAACACAAUGAUCGGCGAUGAUCUUCAGGUGAGCCACGCAGAAAGGAGAGAGAGUGCGCACGUCCGUGUGUGAGCGCCGUUGCGAGAGAAAUAGUCUUGACCUAUGGUACGCUGUUGGUGCGUGCAUGGUUGAAAGAAAGAGAGAGAAAGAAUGAGAGAAAACGAGUGAGAGAUAUUAUUAAGGUGAGUGUACACGAGAUUCAUUCCGACAUAGGUGAGGGUUGGUUCAAGAAUGAAAAUAAAAAAAAAUCAUUCAAGAGUAACGGCCCAUAACGGGGCGACAUUUUCUAAAUGCUAAAAUUACAUUUAAUUGAAAAAAUAAUGCCAUUUUAGCUUUACUGGAAGCUUCUUGCUUCUGUCAGUCCUACGUAUGGGGGCGCAGUCCAUUGAGGGACUUGAACUCUUGAUGGGCAUGUUGUUAAGUCGUGCGAAUUGACGACAGUACCACGAGUCGGCCCGCAACGAGGCGGACUGGUAUGUUUUAAAUAUCAAAAUAUUGAUUAGCUCAUACAGCUAUUUUACAGCGGUUUUCAGGUCUUUUCAUAGCUGUGGAACACUUUCUAGACCCUUUCUUUUGGGUAAAUAAACUUCAUGUGAUGGAAAUUGGGCUUUAUAACAUCCUGUUGGUACAGACUCAUUGGAAAUUCCUUGAAAUAGUCCAAAAAGGGUAACAUAGAGUCCAUAUAGCCAUAGAGUAAUUCCCAUCAUAUAAAAUUAAUUUCGCUUAAAAAUAAGAGGCGCACUAUACAAAAAAAAAUUAAAACAAAA